rnacentral:rRNA from 1 species
AUGAAUCACCUUGUUUGGAACUGACGGGGCGUGGGGAACCGUCGGACAGUUCGUGACUUACUGGCCCUUGUUAGGGCUAAUUCACCCCGACUUGUCUUUCUCUGCUAGAUGAGACAGGCUGUUGUAAAAGUGGAGAAACUGCGAUGGAGACUUGGGCUCCGUGGCUUUCGAGAUGUUGAUUCAGUUGGGAAAGGUGGUGGACUUGGUCUGUUUUGGGAGGAGACGCUCCAGGUGACAGUUCUGGAGGCUUGUGCAAGAUUCAUAGAUGUACACGUAUUUGAUCUUGGUAUAGAUAAAAAAUGGCGGGUUACAUUCAUUUAUGGAGAACCUCGGGUGGAGAAUAGAAGGAUCAUGUGGGAUCACCUUACUAGGUUGAGAGGGGUUUCAAAUGAUCUGUGGCUUGUAUGUGGAGACUUCAAUGAAUGUAUGUGGCAGCAUGAACAUCUUUCGAGUACACAGCGUAGCCCGGCUUAG